GUUAGGAAUAUUGGACAAUGGGCGCAAGCCUGAUCCAGCCAUGUCGCGUGAGUGAUGAAGGCCUUCGGGUUGUAAAGCUCUUUAGUCCACGAAUAUAAUGACUGUAGUGGAAGAAUAAGCCCCGGCUAACUUCGUGCCAGCAGCCGCGGUAAUACGAAGGGGGCGAGCGUUAUUCGGAAUCACUGGGCGUAAAGCGUGCGUAGGCUGUUUUGUAAGUCAGAAGUGAAAGCCCAGGGCUUAACCCUGGAAUUGCUUUUGAAACUACAGGACUCGAAUUCGGGAGAGGAUAGCGGAAUUGUCAGUGUAGCAGUGAAAUGCGUAGAUAUUGACAGGAACACCAGUGGCGCAAGCGGCUAUCUGGACCGAUAUUGACGCUGAGGCACGAAAGCGUGGGGAGCAAACAGGAUUAGAAACCCCUGUAGUCC
rnacentral:rRNA from 1 species